GUCAGCACAGAGCCCGAUGUGGGGCUCGAACUCAGACUGUGAGAUCGUGACCUGAGCCAAAGUCGGGCACUCAACUGACUGAGCCACCCAGGCGCCACAAACAGAGCCUAAUUUAAUUCUUAAUCGAGACUGAAGCUCUUUCAUUAACAAUCAAAAAAUUAACUUGGUAUGGAAGAAUAACUGAUACGAACUUGGAAUGGCUAAAACAAUUGUUUAGCGUUUGGUGCUAAUGAGGCUAGACUCCUGGGUUCUGUCCCCCUGUAGACUGGUUACCUUUACCUUUACUUCCACAAUUAGGAAGGCAUUCCAAUCGGCAGAGCCAUCUUGCAGGUGCAAUAAUUGGACACUGGGGACGGGGCAAGAGUUUGUGAAUGGGUCAAGGCAGAUCAACCACCACCACUCCUAGAAAAUAAUUCAAAAGUACAUCUUUUACUGAGAGUAGGUCAUUAACGUACACACCCUUCCGUUUGCCAUCAUACACCCAGCUGUGUCACUGAAUUGAGCGGAAAGCUAAGUCUUAAAUCUCAUCCAAAGGAGAUUGUUGGAAGAAUCGAAAGUUCAUGAGGUGGGGUAGAAAGAACAUAUUACUUUGAUGUGGAUGUGGGGCUUGGGCACGAAUCCUAAAGAGAACAUUAGAUAGCAUGACUAUCAUUUAAGUGCAGUGUAGAUAACUGUCAGCGUGUAUCCUGGGCCAGUGUUUCUGAUUUAUUCAUCUGUUCGUUUUUUUUGAACAGGUGUCGAUUGGGCCACUAAGUAAGAGAAAAAGACUUGGCUUUGGGGUCGAUCAAUUUGGAGAUUGUGGGAAUCAACUCUUAACUGUCUCUUGGUUGCUGUCAGAACUUGUCAGACAAAUCACUCAAACUCUCAGAGCCUGAAUGACAACAGCGACUUCAGAGGGCUGUGGCCAGGAUUCAUCAAGACGAUCUGGGUGCUCAAUACAUGGAAGGAAAAUGCAUAAGUGUUUGGGGAUAAAGCAGCUUGGCCAUGUUGAAAAGCUUGAAAAGAGGGGAGAUUGGAGGCAUUGAAAAUCUGUGCUUUUCAUGGACGAAUGGCCUCUGCGGGACACGGCUACAUUUUCCAAGAGAAGAUUCCCAUUCAGCCAGUCAGACAGACCUGUUCACUGUUCUCUUCUGGGUCCCUUGCUUUAGAUGAUUGCUUUCCAUUUUCUCCCUGCCAACUCAUGUUCCAAUCUUCCUUCAGAAUUUGGCUCAAGGUUCACCUCCAUCAGGAGACCUAUUUGGUGUCUGGUCUAUAACUGAUUUUUAAUUUGGGUCAAUGAUCCAUUAAAGAAAAAUGGUUCCCUACUCUGAACUAUAUGACCGACUGCCGUGAGAUAUGCCAAGGUUUUGUAGACAGGAUUGAGAAACUGUACCAGUAAGAGUCAGUCAGCGGCUCUGUAGAAGAAAGCAGAUAGUGGAUCGGGUGGAAGUGAAGUCAAGCCCUCAUUAUAUUUCCCUCUUUGUGUACUUUUCUGGGAUGAUGCCCACGUCUGGAAAGAGGAGAAUGAAUAUAGCUCCGAAUAGGUUAGCUGUGAGUAAGCAUCUGUGUUCUUGGAUCUCUUAGCUUCGGGAGCAGGAGGAGGUCAGCUCGCUUAGGAGGGAAGGGAAGGAUUUUAAUUAAUGCACAGAUAUGCCCAGCAUGCAGGGCUAUGUAAAAUGGAAAGUUUUGCAACAAAUUAACUUCUGAAAAAUGUGUGAGGUUGCUCUGAUAACUUGCUUUUAUUUUGUGACCAGAGAGGAGAAAUGAAUAGAUCUUUAACAGUA